CCCUUAGAUGUCCUGGGCCGCGCGCGCGCUACACUGACAUGUUCAACAAGCCUCCUAGUUCGACAGGGUUUGGGAAAUCUUUGAACGCAUGUCGUGAUAGGGAUAGAUCAUUGCAAUUAUUGAUCUUGAACGAGGAAUUCCUAGUAAACGCGAGUCAUCAGCUCGCAUUGAUUACGUCCCUGCCCUUUGUACACACCGCCCGUCGCACCUACCGAUUGAAUGUUUCGGUGAAGAUUCCGGAUAGGACUUUUUUGAUUUAUUUCAAUUUUGUCUUAAAAGCUAUCUAAACCUCAACAUUUAGAGGAAGGUGAAGUCGUAACA
rnacentral:rRNA from 1 species